rnacentral:rRNA from 1 species
GAUGAACGCUGGCGGCAGGCCUAACACAUGCAAGUCGAGCGCGCCCUUCGGGGUGAGCGGCGGACGGGUGAGUAACGCGUGGGAACGUGCCCUUCUCUACGGAAUAGUCUCGGGAAACUGGGGGUAAUACCGUAUACGCCCUAUGGGGGAAAGAUUUAUCGGAGAAGGAUCGGCCCGCGUUGGAUUAGGUAGUUGGUGGGGUAAUGGCCUACCAGGCCGACGAUCCAUAGCUGGUUUGAGAGGAUGAUCAGCCACACUGGGACUGAGACACGGCCCAGACUCCUACGGGAGGCAGCAGUGGGGAAUCUUAGACAAUGGGCGCAAGCCUGAUCUAGCCAUGCCGCGUGAGCGAUGAAGGCCUUAGGGUUGUAAAGCUCUUUCAGCUGGGAAGAUAAUGACUGUACCAGCAGAAGAAGCCCCGGCUAACUCCGUGCCAGCAGCCGCCGUAACAC